UACAGAGGGUGCAAGCGUUGUCCGGAUUUAUUGGGCGUAAAGAGCGUGUAGGCGGCCAGGUAGGUCUGGUGUGAAAACUCGAGGCUCAACCUCGAGAUGUCAUCGGAAACCAUCUGGCUAGAGUCCGGAAGAGGAGAGCGGAAUUCCUGGUGUAGCGGUGAAAUGCGCAGAUAUCAGGAAGAACACCUAUGGCGAAGGCAGCUCUCUGGGACGGUACUGACGCUGAGACGCGAAAGCGUGGGGAGCGAACAGG
rnacentral:rRNA from 1 species